UACGUAGGGUGCAAGCGUUGUCCGGAAUUAUUGGGCGUAAAGAGCUCGUAGGCGGUCUGUUGCGUCGGCUGUGAAAACCCGGGGCUCAACCCCGGGCCUGCAGCCGAUACGGGCAGACUAGAGUUCGGCAGGGGAGAGUGGAAUUCCUGGUGUAGCGGUGAAAUGCGCAGAUAUCAGGAGGAACACCGGUGGCGAAGGCGGCUCUCUGGGCCUGUCCUGACGCUCAGGCGCGAAAGCUAGGGGAGCAAACAGG
rnacentral:rRNA from 1 species